CGCCCGUCGCUCCUACCGAUUGGGUGUGCUGGUGAAGUGCUCGGAUUGGCGACCUGGGGCGGUCUCCGCUCUCGGCCGCCGAAAAGUUCACUAAACCCUCCCACCUAGAGGAAGGAGAAGUCGUAACAAGGUUUCC
rnacentral:rRNA from 1 species